rnacentral:rRNA from 1 species
CGUGAAACCGUCCAGGGGUAAACCUGCGAAACUCGAAUGAACGAACGGAGAGAUUCAUCGUCAUUCCUCGGCGCACGGGCGUUGACUCGAUGUCCCGUCCGGUCCCCUCGCGGGGUGUCGGACGGGUGCACGUGUCGCGCACGCUGCGCACCGGGGACGGCGUGCACUUCUCUCUCAGUAAUACAUCGCGACCCGUUCGAUGUCGGUCUAAGUGCCCUCCGGGAGUCUUCGCUUCGUGUGUCAAAACGCGUCGUGUAGACCGCGAGGUGUUCACCGACCGGCCGUCGGACGGUAGUUCGUACGAAACGCGCACGCGCUUGCGCGCGUCCGGCCCGACGCAAGGCAACGUCGUCCACACUCUGUUCCUGCCCGAGUGCGGAACGGGGUGCGGCGUGCCUGUAUGUCGCAGCCGUGCUGUCUCGGACCGUGCGCGUGUCCGUCUGCGA